AACGGCCGUACCAUGCUGAAUAUACCGGUUCUCGUUAGAUCACCGAAGUCAAGCAGCAUUGGGCGCGGUCAGUACUUGGGAGGGUGACCACCUGGGAACACUGCGUGCCGUUA
rnacentral:rRNA from 1 species